rnacentral:rRNA from 1 species
CCGGAGAAUGUUAUCACGGGAGACACACGGCGGGUGCUAACGUCCGUCGUGAAGAGGGAAACAACCCAGACCGCCAGCUAAGGUCCCAAAGUCAUGGUUAAGUGGGAAACGAUGUGGGAAGGCCCAGACAGCCAGGAUGUUGGCUUAGAAGCAGCCAUCAUUUAAAGAAAGCGUAAUAGCUCACUGGUCGAGUCGGCCUGCGCGGAAGAUGUAACGGGGCUAAACCAUGCACCGAAGCUGCGGCAGCGAACGUAUCACUUAAAGCGAUUCAGCGGGUUACGAUUGACGGAGCGAAGCGACGUCAAAGCGUAUACAAAGUCGAGUCGGUUUAAGGAUACGUUCGUUGGGUAGGGGAGCGUUCUGUAAGCCUGYGAAGGUGKSYYGUGAGGSWUGCUGGAGGUAUCAGAAGUGCGAAUGCUGACAUAAGUAACGAUAAAGCGGGUGAAAAGCCCGCUCGCCGGAAGACCAAGGGUUCCUGUCCAACGUUAAUCGGGGCAGGGUGAGUCGACCCCUAAGGCGAGGCCGAAAGGCGUAGUCGAUGGGAAACGGGUUAAUAUUCCCGUACUUGGUGUUACUGCGAAGGGGGGACGGAGAAGGCUAUGUUGGCCGGGCGACGGUUGUCCCGGUUUAAGCGUGUAGGCUGGUUUUCCAGGCAAAUCCGGAAAAUCAAGGCUGAGGCGUGAUGACGAGGCACUACGGUGCUGAAGCAACAAAUGCCCUGCUUCCAGGAAAAGCCUCUAAGCAUCAGGUAACAUCAAAUCGUACCCCAAACCGACACAGGUGGUCAGGUAGAGAAUACCAAGGCGCUUGAGAGAACUCGGGUGAAGGAACUAGGCAAAAUGGUGCCGUAACUUCGGGAGAAGGCACGCUGACACGUAGGUGAAGUGAUUUACUCAUGGAGCUGAAGUCAGUCGAAGAUACCAGCUGGCUGCAACUGUUUAUUAAAAACACAGCACUGUGCAAACACGAAAGUGGACGUAUACGGUGUGACGCCUGCCCGGUGCCGGAAGGUUAAUUGAUGGGGUCAGCGCAAGCGAAGCUCCUGAUCGAAGCCCCGGUAAACGGCGGCCGUAACUAUAACGGUCCUAAGGUAGCGAAAUUCCUUGUCGGGUAAGUUCCGACCUGCACGAAUGGCGUAAUGAUGGCCAGGCUGUCUCCACCCGAGACUCAGUGAAAUUGAACUCGCUGUGAAGAUGCAGUGUACCCGCGGCAAGACGGAAAGACCCCGUGAACCUUUACUAUAGCUUGACACUGAACAUUGAGCCUUGAUGUGUAGGAUAGGUGGGAGGCUUUGAAGYGUGGACGCCAGUCUGCRUGGAGCCGACCUUGAAAUACCACCCUUUAAUGUUUGAUGUUCUAACGUGGACCCGURAUCCGGGUUGCGGACAGUGUCUGGUGGGUAGUUUGACUGGGGCGGUCUCCUCCUAAAGAGUAACGGAGGAGCACGAAGGUUGGCUAAUCCUGGUCGGACAUCAGGAGGUUAGUGCAAUGGCAUAAGCCAGCUUGACUGCGAGCGUGACGGCGCGAGCAGGUGCGAAAGCAGGUCAUAGUGAUCCGGUGGUUCUGAAUGGAAGGGCCAUCGCUCAACGGAUAAAAGGUACUCCGGGGAUAACAGGCUGAUACCGCCCAAGAGUUCAUAUCGACGGCGGUGUUUGGCACCUCGAUGUCGGCUCAUCACAUCCUGGGGCUGAAGUAGGUCCCAAGGGUAUGGCUGUUCGCCAUUUAAAGUGGUACGCGAGCUGGGUUUAGAACGUCGUGAGACAGUUCGGUCCCUAUCUGCCGUGGGCGCUGGAGAACUGAGGGGGGCUGCUCCUAGUACGAGAGGACCGGAGUGGACGCAUCACUGGUGUUCGGGUUGUCAUGCCAAUGGCACUGCCCGGUAGCUAAAUGCGGAAGAGAUAAGUGCUGAAAGCAUCUAAGCACGAAACUUGCCCCGAGAUGAGUUCUCCCUGAGACUUAGAGUCUCCUGAAGGAACGUUGAAGACGACGACGUUGAUAGGCCGGGUGUGUAAGCGCAGCGAUGCGUUGAGCUAACCGGUACUAAUGAACCGUGAGGCUUAACCUUACAACGCCGAAG